rnacentral:rRNA from 1 species
CCUACGGGAGGCAGCAGUGGGGAAUAUUGGGCAAUGGGUGCAAGCCUGACCCAGCAACGCCGCGUGAAGGAAGAAGGCGUUCGGGUUGUAAACUUCUUUUCUCAGGGACGAAGAAAGGGACGGGACCGGAGGAAUAAGCAACGGCUAACUACGGGCCAGCAGCCGCGGUAAGACGUAGGUGGCAAGCGUUAUCCGGAUUGAUUGGGUGUAAAGGGCGUGUAGGCGGGAGCUCAAGUCAGAUGUGAAAACUCAGGGCUCAACCCUGAGCCUGCAUUUGAAACUGUGUUUCUUGUGUGCUGGACCGGCACUCGGACUUCCGUGUGUAGCGGUGAAAUGCGUAGAUAUACGGAGGAACCCCAGUGGCGCAGGCGUAUUGCUGGACCGUAACUGCCGCUGAGGCGCGAAAGCGU